GAUCCUGGCUCAGGAUGAACGCUAGCGGCAGGCUUAACACAUGCAAGUCGAGGGGCAGCAUAAUGGAUAGCAAUAUCUAUGGUGGCGACCGGCGCACGGGUGCGUAACGCGUAUGCAACCUACCUUUAACAGGGGGGAUAACACUGAAGUAAAGUUGGUACUAACUACCCAUAAUAUCAUAGAAGGCAUUCUUUUAGUGGUUAGAAAACUUCCGAUUGGUUAGAGAGUGGGCAUGCGUUGUAUUA
rnacentral:rRNA from 1 species